UGUUAAAAAUUUCGUCUAUUUUUAUCGUUAAAAAUUGGCUUGGUUGAUAAAAUAACUAUAUAGUUACACAUGGUGUGUCAUAUGUAUUUUAUACUGACCUACUGUGACCAAUUUUUAAUAGUAAAAAUGGACGUAGUUUUUAACA
rfam:Gossypium hirsutum cultivar TM-1 unplaced genomic scaffold scaffold1841.1, whole genome shotgun sequence